ensembl:snRNA U1 U1 spliceosomal RNA
AAAUUCUCCUGGCAGGGGAGAGACCAUGAUCACAAAGGUGGUUUUCCCAGGGUGAAGCUCAAACAUUGCACUCUGAAUGUGCUGACCCCCACAAUUUCCCCAAAUGUGGGAAAUUCGACUGUGUAAUUCGGGU